CGCUGUUUUUAUCCAGGUGUAUUGAUUUGCUCUAAUUUAAGAUAAGAUAUCUUUUAGACAAAUUAAAUUCUGCUUAUAUAAAAUCAUAGUAGAUUCUCUUAUUGGAUGGUUCCAGGAAAUGACUAAUGAACUGGUUUAAAUGUUAUUUUAUUUAAAAUUACAUAAGAAUAGAUCUUAACUACUUAGGAGAUCUAGCCAGCAUUGAAAGGGUUAUUCUAACUGUCAGCUAAACUUUACGACCUUACGCUGCACUCUGAAGAAUUCUGUUCUCUGAGUGAAACUUUUUCAGUCUGUGAGGAUACCUCAUAAAUCG